CUAGAAAAUUCCUAAGUCAAAGUGUGCAUCUACACAUUCAAAUUAUCAUAUUUGUUAAGUUUCAUUAAGUUUGGAGCAUUUUGAAGUUUUUGACAUUUUUGCUGUUUCCAUGGUUACGGCGGCCAUUUUGAAAAUUCCAACUUCAAAUGUCAACUUUGCUUAUGCCAGUGACCAUUCCUGUAAAGUUUCAUCCAGUUUACAGCAUUUUUAUUUUUUUUGAAAUUUUUUGACCUUUUAGCAUUGUUUCCAUGGUAACAACAGAUAUUUUGGAAAUUCCAACGCCAAAUUCCACAUCUUCCAAUGUUGCUCAUCGUUACUGUGAAGUUUCAUGACGUUUGGAGCAUUUUGA
rnacentral:lncRNA from 1 species